CCUACGGGAGGCUGCAGUAGGGAAUAUUGCUCAAUGGGGGAAACCCUGAAGCAGCAACGCCGCGUGGAGGAUGAAGGUUUUCGGAUUGUAAACCUCUUUUGUUAGGGAAGAUAAUGACGGUACCUAACGAAUAAGCACCGGCUAACUCCGUGCCAGCAGCCGCGGUAAUACGGAGGGUGCAAGCGUUAUACGGAAUCACUGGGCGUAAAGAGGGCGUAGGCGGGAUAGCAAGUCAGAUGUGAAAUUCUAUGGCUUAACCAUAGAACUGCAUUUGAAACUGUUAUGCUAGAGUGUGGGAGAGGUAGGUGGAAUUCUUGGUGUAGGGGUAAAAUGCGUAGAGAUCAAGUGGAAUACUGAUUGCGAAGGCGGCCUGCUGGAACGUGACUGACGCUGAUGCGCGAAAGCGUGGGGAGCGAACAGGAUUAGAUACCCCAGUAGUC
rnacentral:rRNA from 1 species